rnacentral:lncRNA from 1 species
UGGAAGGGGAUACAGGCCGUUGGACAGUAAUGACAGCCACUAGUGCACAGAAAAAUUUAAAGUUUCCAAUCUGUUUUUCCAGUGGUUUCAGCAACUUCAGAUGUAUAAGAAGCGGUGCUCCCUCUAGAAUAGCACAAACAGCUUGCAACCCUCUUGAAGCCAGACAUCAGUCCCGUAUCUGCUGGUACAAAGUUUUACAAGAGAUCAUCAGGAGCCUGAAUUUCCUCAAAGAGCAGAAGGUUUCCUGUAAGCAGAUGAACGUGUCAGAUAUUUUUGAAGACCCAAAGUCUAUGACCUCUGCAAGUUCUGCAACCAAAAGUAUGGUCUCACCCUGUUCGCCCCCCAUCCUGGUAAGUAGCAUCCACAAAACAACACCUUUCAAUGUCUAACCUUUGGUGCUGAAGGCUAGGUUGACUCUGGGACAUGGAAUGAGAAGUCCCUUCUGUGGUCCUGUGCAUGGGCCUGACACACAAACUGGGAAGGCUAGCCUGCAAGAUCUGAUGCUUUUGGGGUGCUUACGACUUCAACCAAAUGAAAUCUGUUCAGCCAGAACUAUCGCCUGUCAGGUCUCAGCUCUGAGGAAAGACAGAGGCUAAAAUCUGUUAUUUGAAAAAUCAAACAAAAAAAUGAUUGCUAAUAGCUAUAGGCACUUGUUUACUUUUAAACCAACCCUUUCCCCAUAUCUCUGGCGUCACCUAAUUGGGACCUUUCCUA